UCCGUUGCGGUCUAGUAGUAAAAAUUUACGGCUCUCACCCGUAACGCCCGGGUUCGAAUCCGGGCAACGGAA
rnacentral:tRNA from 1 species